UGCGUGUCUACAUCAAAUUAU
rnacentral:siRNA from 1 species